CUCGGCUCUCGCAUCGAUGAAGAACGUAGCGAAAUGCGAUACUUGGUGUGAAUUGCAGAAUCCCGUGAACCAUCGAGUCUUUGAACGCAAGUUGCGCCCGAAGCCGUCAGGCCGAGGGCACGUCUGCCUGGGCGUCACGCAUCACGUCGCCCCCCUUAACUACGC
rnacentral:rRNA from 1 species